rnacentral:rRNA from 1 species
AUUGAACGCUGGCGGCAUGCCUUACACAUGCAAGUCGAACGGUAACGCGGGGCAACCUGACGACGAGUGGCGAACGGGUGAGUAAUGUAUCGGAACGUGCCCAGUUGUGGGGGAUAACUGCUCGAAAGAGCAGCUAAUACCGCAUACGACCUGAGGGUGAAAGCGGGGGAUCGCAAGACCUCGCGCAAUUGGAGCGGCCGAUAUCAGAUUAGGUAGUGGGUGAGGUAAAGGCUCACCAAGCCGACGAUCUGUAGCUGGUCUGAGAGGACGACCAGCCACACUGGGACUGAGACACGGCCCAGACUCCUACGGGAGGCAGCAGUGGGGAAUUUUGGACAAUGGACGCAAGUCUGAUCCAGCCAGGCCGCGUGCGGGAAGAAGGCCUUCGGGUUGUAAACCGCUUUUGUCAGGGAAGAAACGCUCUGGGUUAAUACCUCGGGGUAAUGACGGUACCUGAAGAAUAAGCACCGGCUAACUACGUGCCAGCAGCCGCCGUAAUAC